rnacentral:rRNA from 1 species
AGAGUUUGAUCAUGGCUCAGAACGAACGCUGGCGGCAGGCUUAACACAUGCAAGUCGAACGCCCCGCAAGGGGAGUGGCAGACGGGUGAGUAACACGUGGGAACGUGCCCUUCGCUUCGGGAUAGCCUCGGGAAACUGGGAGUAAUACCGAAUACGCCGUAUUGGGAAAGAUAUAUCGGCGAAGGAUCGGCCCGCGUUGGAUUAGCUAGUUGGCGGUGUAAUGGACCACCAAGGCUACGAUCCAUAGCUGGUCUGAGAGGACGACCAGCCACACUGGGACUGAGACACGGCCCAGACUCCUACGGGAGGCAGCAGUGGGGAAUCUUGGACAAUGGGCGCAAGCCUGAUCCAGCCAUGCCGCGUGAGUGAAGAAGGCCUUAGGGUUGUAAAACUCUUUCGCCGGUGAAGAUAAUGACGGUAACCGGAGAAGAAGCCCCGGCUAACUUCGUG